rnacentral:rRNA from 1 species
ACUCAAAUGAAUAGACGGGGGCCCGCACAAGCGGCGGAGCAUGUGGCUUAAUUCGACGCGACGCGAAGAACCUUACCAGGGCUUGACAUGCGGGGUGAAGCCUGCGAAAGCAGGUCCUCCUUCGGGAGCCCGCACAGGUGUUGCAUGGCCGUCGUCAGCUCGUGCCGUGAGGUGUUGCCUUAAGUGGCGCAACGAGCGCAACCCCUGUCCCAUGUUGCCAGCGGAUGAUGCCGGGGACUCAUGGGAGACUGCCGGUGCCAAACCGGAGGAAGGUGGGGAUGACGUCAGGUCAUCAUGACCCUUACGUCCUGGGCUGCACACAUGCUACAAUGCUUGCUACAAAGGGUAGCAAUCCCGCAAGGGGGAGCGAAUCCCAAAAAAGCAAGCUCAGUUCGGAUCGGGGUCUGCAACUCGACCCCGUGAAGUCGGAGUCGCUAGUAAUCGCAGAUCAGCAAUGCUGCGGUGAAUACGUUCCCGGGCCUUGCACACACCGCCCGU